CCUACGGGUGGCUGCAGGGAGGAAUAUUGGUCAAUGGACGCAAGUCUGAACCAGCCAUGCCGCGUGCAGGAAGACGGCUCGAUGAGUUGUAAACUGCUUUUGUACGAGGGUAAACGCAGAUACGCGUAUCUGUCUGAAAGUACCGUACGAAUAAGGAUCGGCUAACUCCGUGCCAGCAGCCGCGGUAAUACGGAGGAUUCAAGCGUUAUCCGGAUUUAUUGGGUUUAAAGGGUGCGUAGGCGGGCGGUUAAGUUAGAUGUGAAAUCCCGAGGCUCAACUUCGGACUUGCCUCUGAUACUGUUCGGCUAGAGCGUAGUUGCGGUAGGCGGAAUGUAUGUUGUAGCGGUGACAUGCUUAGAGAUCAUCCAGAACCCCGAUUGCGAAGGCAGCUUACCAAGCUACUUCUGACGUUGAGGCACGAAAGCGUGGGGAGCAAACAGGAUUAGAUACCCCAGUAGUC
rnacentral:rRNA from 1 species